rnacentral:misc_RNA from 1 species
UCCGACUUCACGUCGGCAGUCUUGUUAGAGUGCCCGGCCGAAACCGCUGGCAACUAACAACGAGGGUUGCGCUCGUUGCGGGACUUAACCCAACAUCUCACGACACGAGCUGACGACAGCCAUGCAGCACCUUCUCACUCGCUCCUUACGGCACCCCGGCAUCUCUGCCAGGUUCGAGCGGAUUUAACCCAGGUAAGGUUCUUCGCGUUGCGUCGAAUUAAACCACAUGCUCCACUGCUUGUGCGGGCCCCCGUCAAUUCCUUUGAGUUUCAGCCUUGCGGCCGUACUCCCCAGGCGGGGCACUUAAUGCGUUAGCGCCGGCACUCAGAGGGUCGCUCCCCCAAGCACCUAGUGCCCAUCGUUUACGGCGUGGACUAC